UUAAGUAUAAGAAUGAUUCUUACCUUUUCCAUGUUAACAAUUUUCAUAUACCAACAAGGCUUGGAAGCAUUAAAGUGCAUCAACCCCAUGUUUGAGUUUCUCUUUUCAGCAACGAAGCAAUAAGUUACAGGAGGAACAAAAGCGUAGCUUGGAGAGAAACACAUAAUUCCAAUCAUACAUGUUCAUAUUUGUUUGGUUAAAUGCACACAUUUAGAUUAAUUGGGUUUGACUUUGAUAAAUAAAAAACUGAGAUUGAUGAAAUACUUGGCAUAUAUAUAAGUGAGGGCAGGGUGUACGAACACUACAUUAAAUUAUUGUACACAUAGUAAUCGAGAUUGUACUGUGGAUUUGGACCUUUGUCAUUGGCGAUUGAAUUUAUUUAUCCUCGGGGGUGGACAAGCGAUUCUAAUUUUUGCAAUCAUAUAUUUCUCUUCCUUGGACGACACAUGUCUACUUAUUUGGGAUAUCUGGCCUGCACUUCUCUUCUAUUUCCCGAUCUCUUUCUUUCUUCUUACUCUGUGGUUUCUGUUUCUGUUACUUUUCUCUCUGAAAAAGAGUUGCUACAUGCUGUUUUUGAAAAAUUGGUCGGCACACACGUGUGUAUCGCACCUCCAAAAUUCAGGACGACUCCUAUGAGCACUGCUUCGGUUUUCACAGUCUUGCAGUAUUGCUAUUGAUAAAUUCUUUUGAAUAUAAAUUUUAGCUAAUUUCUAUUACAUGUUAGUAAUCAUACCUGAUUUACACGUGCAUUGUCUCUUUGAUGUAUUUUGUCUUUGUUACCAAAACUUCAAGGUAUCAGAAGUGACUGUAAUUUUGAAAUGGAGCUUGCAGCCAUGGUAUUUGAUGAUAUGUCUAAGUCAUCUUAUCGGGAGUAUACUGUUGUGUCCACCUCCUAUUUUGGAUGCAGACAGUGAAAUCUCUAGGAGCAACUGAGCAAGAAAUCUUCCAGAAAAAAGUCAAUUUAUCUUAAUUUGAUCACUGUGGGGCUACUAUUCAAGACUUAAGGUCACCAUUUGGUUGUUACCGUCGUCCACACACUAAAGAUGCAAGAAUAGUAAGAGUGCACGAAUCAUCUGGUGUGGCUUUGUCCACUACCGUCUACCGUUAUUCAGUGAUUCAUUUGCGUUAAGCUUCUUCCAGAUUAAGUGUUAAUGGAGAAUGUGGGUCCAUCAAAUUUCUUUUUCAAGUUUGUUUAAUUGGAAGGUUUCUUCCAUACCAUCAUAUUUAACUCUUGGUUUAUAUUUAUGUACAGUGAAUGUACUUCUGCAUAGGGUGGUAAUAGCAUAAAGAGAAGCUUAGCUAACAUAGCUGGGUGACCAUAUGCGAUAUAAAGUCUCUUGGCCUUGUACAUUCUGUAAAUUGCCUUUUCACGUUUCCUAUGUGUUAUUUCGAGCUUAAACUUUUUCUCAUGCUCAUAUCUCAAGGAUGUACUUGAGGUUCCUUAGAAUAGUUUUCAGGAUUUUAUCUUUUGCUGACUCAUGAGUAUAACAAUGAUUGCUUUUAACAAAUUCUGGCAACAUUUAUAAUAGUGACUUUUUGGUGUUUACAGAGCAUUUUUUCUUUGAUGUAGUUGGAAAUCAAAAAAGUUAUAUAUGUUUGUAAAGUAGACAAAGAAAAAUUGUCAUUUUUUAGCUUUCUUCAGUUGGAGCAGCCUAUGGAGCAACUCUGCCAUUUGAUGUGUGAAAGAAAGGAGAAAACAGUAAAUCACAUACUUCUUCACUGUGAGAUGGCUAAGAGAUCUAGAACAUGGUGACAUCAUUUGGAAUGACACUACUCCUAAAGUGAUUUUCUCUACUUUAAAGGGAGUAAUGAAAGUUGACGUUCAAUGCUGAUGGAGCAUGAAAGCAACUCUAUAGGUGGCUUUGGUGCACUGUCUGAAAAAAGCUUCUGAUGUUUGUGAGAGAGAGAAUUAAAGGAAACAUAAGUUAAUAGCUUAUAAUCCCUUGGAUAUAUAGUUUAACUCUAUAAGUCUUUUGGUUUGCUGAAUUCCUUGAAUGAGUAGUGGAACUUUAAUAGUGUUUAAUAAGUACAGUUCACAAGAGCAAAUUAGUGUUGUUCAACAACUAUACUCUAAAAUUUGUUGUGAUUUUAAGCUUG